UGUAAUGUUUACAAAUGGCGGAGGGCGCAACAUCAUAAUUAGAAAAACCAAAGAAAAUAUUACAUUCAGUACUUACCCAAAUCACCACGGAAAUUAGAUGAAAACAGAUUUAAGAUGGCGUGCCAAGCACUGGUUACAGACGCAGGGCAUAAUGAUGCACAAAUUCCUUCCAUAGAUAUUGACAAAAUAAAAAUAACUCAUGUUAAAACACUAAAUAUUGGUUCAAGAAGAGAAGAAAGAAAUGUAACUAGUAUUGUCCAAUUACCAGAUAAGACAGUUUUCAUUGCUAGUUGUGAUUUAUCAAACGAUAGGGGAACAUUAUAUUCCAUUUCCUCAGAUGGCAUGACAACAUCAUCCAAAUGUAAACAAGCACCAUAUGGAAUGACAUAUUUUGAUGACUUUCUUCAUGUUUCAUAUCCAAAGAAACAAACAAUCGAUAUUUAUGACAGUGAUUUGAAGUUUUGGUAUACCUUUGCUCAAGGAUAUGAAUUUCGAGGACUGUCAUCAAACGAAACGGACACUGUUUCCAUUUCAAAGUUUAAAGGAUUCAGUUUUAUGGGUAAAUCGGGUAAUAUAUAUAAAGAGUUUCCUCUUAAAUCAACAAACGGAAUAAAUUUCAUUCAUUUUAACAAGGAGUAUAUUUACUUUGCUGAUGACGUUAAGCAAUGGAUAACAUGUAUCAAUACUGUUGGAAAGAUGGUAUGGCGUUGUAAAUUCUUAAAUAAAGAUCAUGAAUUCUUAGAGCCAGGUGGAAUUUGUACCGACCUGUAUGGAAAUGUGUUUGUUGCAGACACUUGGAGAAGUAAUAUUUUUGUCAUUGCGGCCGACGGUUCAAAAUACAGCCACCAUAGUGUAGAUAAAGUAAAAGAACCUACUGCAUUAUGUUUCGAUAAGGAAAAUUGCCAACUCAUAGUGGCAGACAAAUCUGGAAGUCCUUGCAUAUACCAAGUUACAUACAGAUAACAAUUAUGUACUAUAACUAUUUCUAUGUACAUGUACAUAUAUGCGCUUUAUAGAAAUAAGAAGAUUUGGUAUGAGUGCCAAUGAGACAACUCUCCAUCCAAGUCACAAUGUAUAAAACGUAAACAAUUAUAGGUCAAAGUAGGGCCGUCAACACAAAGCCUUGGCUCACACCGAACAGCAAGCUAUAAAGGGCCCCAAAAUGACUAGUGUAAAACAAUUCAAACUGGAAAACCAACCGUCUUAUCUAUAUAAAAAACGAGAAACGAGAAACACUUAAGAACCACAUCAACAAACGACAACCACUGAAACAGGUUCCUGACUUAGGACAGGUGCAAACAAAUGCAGCGGGUUUAAACGUUUAAACAGGCGCCAACCUUCAUCCUAACCCGAAAUAGUAGUGUAACAUUACAACAUAGAAAGACACACUAUAAGAUAUCAAUUGAAAUGGUUAAACUCAACCAAAAAGACUUAUUAACAAAAACAAGUAAACAUACAUUGAACGAAUAAAUUUGAUCUAUGACACAAUGUCAAAAAGACAACUAUAACCUUGGAUAAAAUGGCGUUAAAUAAAAUAACGUAGACAGGUAAAUCUAAAUAUAAUAAUUUUGUUGUUAGGAGUACGGAGAUAUUAUUUACAAAAUAAAUAAAUUUGUUGUUCAUAGUACGAGAACAGCAGUAAAAAUGUAUCGUCAUACUAAAUGCUUAUCAAAGGUGGUCAGUCUGUCAUCAAAUAUUGACAGUCAUUGUCAUUGCUGUAAAAUUGCUAAAUAGUGUGUUAGGGAUUUUUUUCAAAAAGCAGUACCCGAAAAAACAUUUUGUAAAAUUUACGGAUUAUGCGUUAAAUAACGAUAUAUGCAUUGUCAUUCAAACUUAUGUCGCAUGUACAAAAUAAACUGUAUGAAUUGCUA